GGAGGAGGAGGAGGAGGAGGAGGAGGAGGAGGAGGAAGGAAGAAGGAAGAAGAAGAAGAAGAAGAAGAAGAAGAAGAAGAAGAAGAAGAAGAAGAAGAAGAAGAAGAAGAAGAAGAAGAAGAAGAGAAAAAGAAAAAAAGAAAAAAAAAGAUAGUUGUAGUUGGUACAAUCAUCAAGGCACACACACAAAACCCACUGUAGAGUCGGUUGGUCUCUAGCUCUAUGUAGUUGGGGAUGACCACAAACUUCUGAUCUUCUUGAUUCCACCCCCUCCCAACGUUGGAAGUAGGAGCCUGCUUUACCAGGCCUGAGUUAUUCAGGCGGAACCCAUGGCGUCAUGCAUUCGAGAUACUUUCUGGAUGCUCCUGGUGCACAAUGAUAUACUACAUCUGCGAUGGAGUAUGAUUCAGAGACUCACGAGACACUUCAGCACACAAGCUCACCAACUCGGUGAUUCUGGCUCCCUUAACUCUUGGGUAUCAACACAACAAAACAGAGAUUAAAAACAAAGUUAACCCCCCCACACACACAUAGAAAUGAACAUAAAAUCUACACAAAAAAUUAAGAGAAAAAAAUGAAUUGCCAAAAAGUAUAGAAUAGAAAGCAGGUUAGAAGUUCAGUGUGGAACCAGAUUUCAUCACCUGGAAACGGUGAAAGCUAAUUGUUUCACUACCAAGUGUUACCUUCUACAAUGGAUUACUAUGCAGCUGUAAAUAAGAACAGAGGCCAUGUGUACGACCCAUGUACUGCAGUUCCUGUGGAGGCCAGAAGAGGACCUCAGAGGCAGGCAGAUCUCCAGGAUCCAGGCCAGCCAGAGCUGCUAUAAGGGUCUCAUUCUGUACCCUUGGCUGACUGAGAACCGGAUGUGUAG
rnacentral:lncRNA from 1 species